rnacentral:lncRNA from 1 species
GGGCUCCGAAAGGAGAGCGUGGUGUCUGGAGGUGAUCGGAAGGGACUGGCUGGAGUGUGGCGGGCUGACAGGUCUGAGGCCUGAAGGACUUCCGGGAACCGCAAAGCACGGUGUGCCUCCGCUGUCCUGAAGAAAAAGCCGCGCGCGGACGACUGGCCGGCCCGCGCUUGCAGCUCCCAGAAGUUGACAGGCAUCCUCCGGUGACCGGAGACAAGUUCUCACUCUGUCGCCCAGGCUGGAGUGAAGUGGCGCGAUCUCAGCUCACUGCAGCCUUGAACUCCCAUGCUCAAGUGAUCCUCCUGCCUCAGCCUCCCAAGUAGCUAGGACUACAGAUCUGCAUUGUAAGAAAAAUGAGAAGAAUUCCUUCAGGAAGAAGAAAAAUGAUACCAGAUGGAUAUGUGGAUCCACAUAAAGGAACGAAGAGCACAGGAAAUAGUAACUAUACUGUCUUGCUCUGUCACCCAGGCUGGAGUGUGGUGGUGCGAUCUUGGCUCACUGCUAGACUGGUUGGAUCCAGGUUUCCUUCGUCAGUCCAGGCAGGACUGUGCGGUUGGAAAAGGGACGGAUGCUGGUCCUGGAAGGGGCGUCGUUAUCUAGAAGCUCCCAACCUAAGUGGGUGACUCAUAGGGAGGGCAAGGAGAGAAGGACACAGCAAGCAACUUACAUGUAAAACAAGACGUGUGGGUUAUUAUGGAAGAAAUUCACAACCAAACUUGGGGUUAGCCCGUAUUGUUUUCCAAGAACUCUAUGUGGACAGUGACAAAAAACAGACCUAAGAACUAGCAGACUGGGCAAAGCUUUUUCACAUAACAACAACAAAAAAAGCAAUUCCUCAGGAAAAAAUGGUCAAUGGGUCAUUGUGUGUAGACAAAACUACAAGUUCUGCUCCAGACUCUGGGGAAACCAUGCUGCCAUCUUCAAGCUGUGGCCAUUCUGUAAUACAGACUACGCUAAAUCACAUGUUGUCAUCAAGGCAGAAUAUUUUGUUCCUUUAUGGGUCAGCCUGGGAUACAAAAUUAGAGAAACUUUGCAAUGAAAAAUCCCUUGUGUCUCAUUGAACUUUUUCCUUAAUUCAAACCUUUCCUUUCACAGUUUUGAUUAGUGCCUUUGCCCAUGUGGACAAUAUUUUAUGAUCAGGUUUUAAGAGUAAUCCAUCCAUGGCUGCUUGGCUGCCUGGAACUUAAAACAACGACAACAACAAUGUCCAGAUAAACCCAAUAAAAUAGGUUUUUAAAUGUGU